GAUGAACGCUGGCGGCGUGCCUAACACAUGCAAGUCGAGCGAUUUACUUCGGUAAAGAGCGGCGGACGGGUGAGUAACGCGUGAGGAACCUGCCUUUCAGUGGGGGACAACAGUUGGAAACGACUGCUAAUACCGCAUAAUGUGUUUUGGGGGCAUCCCUGGAACACCAAAGAUUUAUUGCUGAAAGAUGGCCUCGCGUCUGAUUAGAUAGUUGGUGGGGUAACGGCCUACCAAGUCGACGAUCAGUAGCCGGACUGAGAGGUUGAACGGCCACAUUGGGACUGAGAUACGGCCCAGACUCCUACGGGAGGCAGCAGUGGGGAAUAUUGGGCAAUGGGGGAAACCCUGACCCAGCAACGCCGCGUGAAGGAAGAAGGCUUUCGGG
rnacentral:rRNA from 1 species